rnacentral:miRNA from 1 species
UGGGCUGAGGCUUGGGUCAGGAG